ensembl:misc_RNA Metazoa_SRP Metazoan signal recognition particle RNA
GCCUGGCAUGGUGGUGCAUGCCUGUAGUCUCAACUACUCCAGAGGCUGAGGUGGGGGGAUCGCUUGAACCCAGGAGUUUGAGGCUGCAGUGAGCCAUGAUAAUGCCACUGCACUCUAGCCUAGAUGACAGAGUGAGACUCCAUCUCUA